GAUCUUGCAGGGUCAUACAGUGGAUCCAGAUAUUCUCAGACUGUAGAGUGGUCUAAAAUCUAUAAGAGCAAACGGGUCAGAUGAGUCGAAAGCCAUAGGAUAGCCUUUUUCAAAUUCAAGAGCAAACUUGACUCUUGUGGUCAUUGUUUCUUUGCAAAAGCUUUGGCUGAAAAGAAUACGAGGGA